rnacentral:misc_RNA from 1 species
AAGUCGUAACAAGGUUUCCGUAGGUGAACCUGCGGAAGGAUCAUUAAUACGUAUCCACGUAUCAACCGAAUUGUGAACUCUGUUUUCCGCCUUGCGAUGAGAGUAUUUGCGGUCAGUUAACCCUUUUCUUUUGGGAGGGGGUUUUGAUGAUGUGCAACUGACCGGUCCUAGUUUGAGUGGGAAUUCUCCGAAAGGGGAUUGUUACUCAGAUUAGCUCAUCACAAGUGUGGCUCAAAAUCUUGACACGUCAUCAUUUUCUAACUUUUAACCCAUGUACAACAUUCUGAACUGAAAAACGUUUCUUUGCGCACUUCAAACCUGUGCAAAGUACAAAAUCCGAAAUUAUGAAACAACUCUUAACAACGGAUAUCUUGGUUCUC